rnacentral:RNase_P_RNA from 1 species
CGAGCCGACCGGGCGGCCGCGUCAACCCGAGCAGGGUUGCCGAGGAAAGUCCGGGCUCCAUAGAGCAGGGUGGUUGUUAACGGCAACCCGGGGUGACCCGCGGGAAAGUGCCACAGAAAACAGACCGCCCACGACCCGGUUCGUCCGGGCCGCGGGUAAGGGUGAAACGGUGGUGUAAGAGACCACCAGCGUUCCGGGUGACCGGAGUGGCUUGGUAAACCCCACCCGGAGCAAGGUCAAGAAGUCGGUGGCGUGCCACUGGCUGCGCGAACGUUCGAGGGCUGCUCGCCCGAGUUCGCGGGUAGACCGCUAGAGCCCGUCGGCAACGACAGGCCGAGAUGGAUGGUCGCCGAUCGGUUCACCGAUCACAGGACCCGGCUUACAGGUCGACUCGUCCG